rnacentral:lncRNA from 1 species
ACAAAACUCUCACCCACCUACUGCUUUUAGCUCACAUUCCAGGAAUUCAGAUGAAGUGAAGUGCUCUCAUGGGGACCAGGCAUGGUUAUGCCAGUCCACUGCCCUGCAAGCCUCAAGGGAAGCCAACUGCCCUUCAGCAAGUCACACCUGCCUUGGUGGAGGCCUUGAUUGGAAGUGCCACACGCUACAUGUCCAGUCCUGAGCGGGAGAAUCGGUGUAGGGACGUUCUGGGGAUGCCAGCUGUGGCCAGAUCAGGUCCAACUACAGAAGAAUAAUGAAGACUCCACCUGAGGGCUGGAAAAACAAAACCUCAAGUGUGAGGCAGCCAACCUGUUACCUCGAGGGACUGUUCCGCAGCACAGCGGGGCCAUGGGAACAGCAGCAGACACCCCGACCUCCUCGCUACCUAUCAACUAUGGCCUGAGUAUGAUAGACUUAUCCAUGGUUUAAACAGAAUAUAUUGUUUUCAACUUUGAAAAUAAGAAUAUGGAAAUCCAGAUGCAGAAAUGUGAGAAGAAAAGAGAGUAAACAGAGUGGAAGGUCAGGUGACCUUGCCUGUCAUGAAUAUGAAGGUCAAGGUGUGUGAAUUG